UACGUAGGGGGCAAGCGUUGUCCGGAUUUAUUGGGUUUAAAGGGUGCGUAGGCGGCCCUGUAAGUCAGUUGUGAAAUACGGCAGCUUAACUGUCGAGGUGCAAUUGAUACUGCAGGGCUUGAGUACUGAUGAGGUAGGCGGAAUUGACGGUGUAGCGGUGAAAUGCUUAGAUAUCGUUAAGAACACCGAUAGCGAAGGCAGCUUACUGGGCUGUAACUGACGCUGAGGCACGAAAGUGUGGGGAUCAAACAGG
rnacentral:rRNA from 1 species